CAGAUCAAAGUGGCAGGGUGAUGUGAAACAGAAUCUCAAGUGAGGAGAUCAGAAAUCACAAGAGGGCUUUUUAGCCCACUGCCCGCAUAAUUUCAACCUAACCUAUCAGUGACACGCUCUUCAUUCUCCCGGCCCCAGAAAGGCCAAUAAGAAAACCCAGAUAUUUUAUUUCACCUAUUAGGUGUUCAAAAAUUCAUAGUUAAAAGAAUGGAGAGGUUCACCAAUCAGCAGCUAAUGUACCUUUAAGGGCUGAGGUGAGCCGGUCUCCUAGCAACAGCCAGGUUUGCAGCAGUUGGACAAUUAGGUUUUAGUAUCACAUUAGUUAAAAGAGGCCCUGCGGGGGGAAGAAGGUGAGGGACGUUUUAACUGGAUAGCAGUUCUGUCUGGGUUUAGAGACUCCACAGAAGACCCGAGUGACGGACGAGAGUCGAGUUGGACCUUCCGGUCGGGAAUCACGCUUUUUUGAAGGCAAUUGGUUGGAGUCGAAAUCGCAGACGCAAGAUAAGCAUUCUGUCUGGGUUUAGAGACUCCACAGAAGACCCGAGUGACGGACGAGAGUCGAGUUGGACCUUCCGGUCGGGAAUCACGCUUUUUUGAAGGCAAUUGGUUGGAGUCGAAAUCGCAGACGCAAGAUAAGCAUUCUGUCUGGGUUUAGAGACUCCACAGAAGACCCGAGUGACGGACGAGAGUCGAGUUGGACCUUCCGGUCGGGAAUCACGCUUUUUUGAAGGCAAUUGGUUGGAGUCGAAAUCGCAGACGCAAGAUAAGCAUUCUGUCUGGGUUUAGAGACUCCACAGAAGACCCGAGUGACGGACGAGAGUCGAGUUGGACCUUCCGGUCGGGAAUCACGCUUUUUUGAAGGCAAUUGGUUGGAGUCGAAAUCGCAGACGCAAGAUAAGCAUUCUGUCUGGGUUUAGAGACUCCACAGAAGACCCGAGUGACGGACGAGAGUCGAGUUGGACCUUCCGGUCGGGAAUCACGCUUUUUUGAAGGCAAUUGGUUGGAGUCGAAAUCGCAGACGCAAGAUAAGCAGUAGGAACAUUAUUCUUUUAUUUAUUGUCUUACUUACAUUAUUGUCUUAAUGAUGUGGAAAGGCAAAGAUAGGAGAGGUUGUGUGGAUCGAUACCUGCCACGUGGGCGAGUGGGUAACUCUGGUUAGUGUCCCUGGGGAUUCCUUCUUAACCACGGUCAGGUUAAAAAUAGUCCAGAACUUUCAUUAUGUGAAAAUUCUGGAAAAAUAGUCCCAACUACCUAAGGGAAUUAAGAAGUAGGCCUACAGAUUCUCCGCAUGGCCUGAGUGAGGCCCAAGGAGCUAGGCCGCCCUGGAAUUAAACCCUUAGAAGUAGUAUGACCUGUACAAUUUUGUGCCUUUCGUUGUCUGGUCUAGGGGGUAGUACAUACGCCAAGCGUGAUUGGCUUGGUUUAAGCCAUUUCAGGGGAGGUGUCGCCUUUCAUUGUCUGGUCCAGGGGUAAUACACACGGCAAGCUUGAUCAACUUGACGGAGCCGGCUCGGGGAGGGUGUCUAAUGUAAAGGCUCGAAACACCCGAAGAUCCGAGAGUGCAUUACUGAUGAUGUGUCCUGGCACAUGAUAAUGAGAGGUUUCGAUUUUCCUAUACAAGCAGCUGGCUUAGGAGCUCAGACUUUAAAUUCUGCAGACUAACCUUUGCCAGCUAAACAUAUAGAUCCACCAGCCCUACACUUAAACCUAAUCCUAAAGUCCAAAAGGGGCAUACACCCCCA